rnacentral:rRNA from 1 species
GACGAACGCUGGCGGCGUGCCUAAUACAUGCAAGUAGAACGCUGAAGGAGGAGCUUGCUUCUCUGGAUGAGUUGCGAACGGGUGAGUAACGCGUAGGUAACCUGCCUGGUAGCGGGGGAUAACUAUUGGAAACGAUAGCUAAUACCGCAUAAGAGUAGAUGUUGCAUGACAUUUGCUUAAAAGGUGCAAUUGCAUCACUACCAGAUGGACCUACGUUGUAUUAGCUAGUUGGUGGGGUAACGGCUCACCAAGGCGACGAUACAUAGCCGACCUGAGAGGGUGAUCGGCCACACUGGGACUGAGACACGGCCCAGACUCCUACGGGAGGCAGCAGUAGGGAAUCUUCGGCAAUGGACGGAAGUCUGACCGAGCAACGCCGCGUGAGUGAAGAAGGUUGUCGGAUCGUAAAGCUCGGUUGUAAGAGAAGAACGAGUGUGAGAGUGGAAAGUUCACACUGUGACGGUAUCUUACCAGAAAGGGACGGCUAACUACGUG